rnacentral:rRNA from 1 species
GUCUACAGCCAUGCUACCCUGAAGAACCCUGAUACUGUCUGAUCUCAGAAGCUAAACAGGGUCGGGCCUGGUUAGUACUUGGAUGGGAGACCACCUAGGAAGACCAGGUGCUGUAGGAG